ensembl:lncRNA
ACUUUCAACAAUGACAGACCAAAGGAAAUGGCAGAAGUGGAUUUUCCUUCUACUCCACAAACUACUUCUCCUCUUCCAGGAUAUUAUCACUGUGUAGAAGGAACUUCUUUUGAAAAUACAUUCCUGCUGUUCACAAAAUUAUAGAUGUUCUUCCUUUACAGAAGUCCUGGAGAUUCAGUGGAGGACAAGAAAGACAAAGAGAAGAAUUACAUGGCUCAUACUCUUCAAAGAGAAUAAUGGAAAGAGAUAAAGAAAUUCAUGGAAAGAAUUAUUUGGUGUUUCUGAAAAAACGACAAUGGGACAUGGUGAAUGGCCAAAAUACGGGACUGAGGAGGACCCCCUCAAAUGCUGUAGUUCAACUUUCUACUUCCCAGCAGGACAAAUGGAAAGAAAGUUCCAGCAUAUGCCAGUCUUGGAAGUACAGUACUCACAUCUACUUUUGUUGUUGUUGUUGUUUUGUUGUGUUGUGUUGUUUUACUGCCUUGGGGAGAUGUAAUAAAGAGAAAAUCCAAUGCCUCCACCAGCUAAUGGUGUUUAUUUUAAAGAAAGUAAAUAAAGUAUUCGUUGCAGUAAAUGGAAAAAACUACAGCAUGAAUUAA